rnacentral:misc_RNA from 1 species
AGAAAACACUAUUUCGUAUGCACACUUUCUCAAGAUCUGGAAAAAGAAUUUCUACUACAUAAUGAUUCCAAAGGUAAGCAGGUUCUCUAAAUGCGACACAUGCAUACUGAUUAAACAGAAGCUGGAAUCAACAACAGAUAAGUCUGCGAGAGAAGAAUUGAAACAGCGCCGACAUGCACAUUUGAUCAAACAGUCGGAACAGAGGAGGAAGUACUACAAGCAUCGAAGCAAGGCAAAAAACAACCCUCAUAAAUACCUUAGUAUAAUUAUUGAUGGUAUGGACCAAAACAAGACAUGUCUCCCGCAUAUGGUAUCCGAGUCAAAGUUCAUAAACCAAAUGUGGAAAUUGAAAGUACAUUUAACCGGGGUAGUAGUGCAUGGUGUCGCCACCUAUGGCUUUUUUGAUUACAACCAAGUAAAGCAUGUCAGUAACUUAACAAUCACUGUACUUAUGAAGAUUCUGCUGCUGAUGCCAAAACUUCCAGGCACUCUGUAUCUCCAGAUGGAUAACUGUGGGCGAGAAAACAAGAAUGGUUAUCCAUGACUUAAACAAGAAUAGAUUUGUUUUAGGCUUCUUGACCUGGCUGGUACUAAACAAUGUAUUUUCUAAGGUGAAAAUAGGGUUCCUCAUGGUUGGCCACACCCACGAAGAUGUUGACAGAGUGUUUUCAAGUUUCAGCAGGAAGUUGCAUCACAGCAAUGCUAACACACUUACACAGUUAAUGGACAUUUGGAGUGGUAGUCAAAGUCCGGGCCUAUUCGGGUACAAGCUUGAAGAAACAUAUGAUUUUGUGUCAUGGAUGUCACCAUACCUAAAUGGCAUAGAGGGUCAUUCCAAACCACAUGCAUACAAAAUUUGCAGAAACGAAAUUGGAGAGGUUGUAUUGUUAUGGAAGGCAUGGCCAACAGAUGCUGAAUGGAAUUACUGUGCAGGAAGUGGCGGGAUAGGAAUUUUGACUGAGAAACCAAAGGGACUUCCGACGAAUGCCGAAACAAACAAAAUAACAACAGAUAGACUUAAAGCAGACUUGUCGAAGAACGAAAGGUUUUUUAAAAAAGAUGAACUAAGUUGGUAGUCAAACUUCUUUAAUGAGAUUGAAGAAGAUAAAGAGCAACUUACAGCACCUCUUGAGGAGUUGAGAAAAAUUGAAAAAACAGAAAUACGACAUGCGUUGACAGAUAACGUUGAUGAAUGUUACUCUGAUGAUGAAAUUCCAAUACAGGUGACGCUGAAAAGGAGAAGAUACACUAAAGAAGUUUAACGUGAAGCAGCAAAAGAAAACAAGUGUAUCAAAUGUGCAGAAAUACCUUAACAGUUACAUUUAGUAUAUGUAUAUUGCUAUAUCUUUCAUAAAUCAUAACAAAAAUACACCAUGACUUAUUUUUGUUAUGUUUUCUGAUCCUUUGGGAC